GAUGCUGCUGGUUGUCAAGAAGAAUGAGAGGCUGUGCAGAAUUACUGGCUUUCACCUACUAGAUGCCAGAAGUCCCUUUCCCAUCUGUGACACCCAAAAUGUUUCCAGUGCGGGAGCUGGUACCAGGACCUCAGAAGGAAGGGCUGCACCUGCAGCAUGUGGAAAUUCCUGGGUUAGAAGUUGAAUUGGAACUGCAGCUGCCAGCCUAUGCUGGAUCCGAGCUGCAUCUGUGACCUACUCUGCAAUUUUUGGCAAUGCCAGAUCCUUAACCCACUGACCUGAGAUCGAACCUGCAUCCUCAAGGACACUAUGUUGGGUUCUUAACCUGCUGGGCCAAAACGGGAACUCCUACUCUUUCUUUAAAAGAGAGCUAGGAGUUGUUCCCUAGUGGCCUGGCAGUCACUGUGUGGCUUGGGUUCAAUCGGAGGCCGGGGAACUUUCACACGCCCGUGGGUGUGGUCAAAAACUGUUUUUAAAUUUAAAAAGAAAAAAUAAAAAGAAAAAGAAUCACACAAUUAUCUUUAAAAAGAGAGCGAGAUUUGGAGCCUGGUGAGGAAAUCCGAUGGGCGGGAAUGCAGCCAUACGUUCUGGCCUUGGAGGAGCCGGUUCUCAAAGAGCCAGGAGUUCUGGCACCAGCUGGCUUCCACUCAGCUGCCAAGUCAAGACAUGCCCGGCCCUGGUUUCACUUCCCUCCAGGCUUGAGGCUAAGUCAUGUGCACACAAACCAGGUGGAAUGCCAGGUCUAAAUGCCCAAGGGGGCAGCUUAUGUAGCCCCUACAGGUCUGCAAAAGCCAGGGGUGGGGGGCCUCCUCUGUUGCACCAGGACUGGGCCCUGGUUGUCAAUUGGAGGGCACACACUGAUGGCCCCCUGUCCCUUCUAGGCCAACCAUGCACCAGAGGGGACAUUCCUACUAUCUCCUUCCUCCAGGAGAAGCUUUUCUUCCUUCAAAAUCACAUACCUCUUAUUGGUCUUACUGCCUGGCUGAGCAAGGGAAGGUACCAGCCAGCUAGGCCCAACCUCACAGGAACGGCAAGGGCACCAUUCCUUGGCCAAGUGGGGAGUCACUAAACCACAGAGAUGGAAGCGUAUUUGCUUGAAGAUCUCCCGUGAAGGAGGAGUCAUGGUAUUAAGGUUGAGACCCUGGCCUCCGGAGGCAUCCCACCCGGGUUUGAAUCUAGGCUCUGCCACAUAGCUCUGUGCCCUUGAGUGUGUUUCUUAAUUUGCCCAUGCCUCCACUUUCUCAUCUAUAAACCGAAAUAAUAACGAUACUUACUUCAUAGAGCUCUGUGAAUAUUAUACGACAGAACCCACAAAAAUACAGUUGACCCUGGAAUACAGGUUUGAGCUGCAUAGAUCCAGUUAUACUUGUAUAUUUCUCAAUAGUAAAUACUACACGGUCUUUGGUUGGUUGAAUUCUUGGAUGCAGAGAAACUAUAUAUGCAGAGGACAGACUACUAAGUAUACAGAGAUUAACACCUGCAGUUGUUCAAGGGUUAGCUAUACUUAGAAUUGUACUUGGGACAGUUCAUUGCAGCACUAUUUACAAUAGCCAAGACAUGGAAACAACCUAAAUGUCCAUCAACAGAGGAGUGGAUCCAGAAGAUGUGGUAUAUAUACACAAUGGAAUAUUACUCAGCCAUUAAAAAGAAUGAACUACCAGCAUUUUUUGUAACAUGGAUGGACCUAGAGACUAUCAUGCUAAGUAAAGUCAGCCAUACAAUGAGACACCAACAUCAAAUGCUUUCAGUGACAUGUGGAAUCUGAAAAAAGGACAGACUGACCUCCUUUGCAGAACGGAUGCUGACUCAGACAUUGAAAAACUUAUGGUCUCCGGAGUAGACAGUUUGGGGGGUGGGGGGAUGUGCCUGGGCUGUGGGAUGGAAAUCCUGUGAAAUCAGAUUGUUAUGACCAUUAUACAACUACAGAUGUGAUAAAUUCAUUUGAUUAAUAAAAAAA
ensembl:lncRNA